UGGAAAACUAGUGAUUUUGUUGUU
rnacentral:piRNA from 5 species